rnacentral:rRNA from 1 species
CAAUAGCGUAUAUUAAAGUUGUUGCAGUUAAAAAGCUCGUAGUUGGAUUUCUGGUGGGAGCGAUCGGUCUGGCGCUUAGCGCGAGUACUUGCAUCGUCUCCGGCCAUCCUUGGGGAGAGUCUGUCUGGCAUUAGGUUGUCGGGCAGAGGAUCCUCAUCGUUUACUGUGAAAAAAUUAGAGUGUUCAAAGCAGGCUUAUGCCGUUGAAUAUAUUAGCAUGGAAUAAUAAGAUAGGACUUUGGUACUAUUUUGAUGGUUUGCGCACCAAAGUAAUGAUUAAUAGGGACAGUUGGGGGUAUUCGUAUUCCGUUGUCAGAGGUGAAAUUCUUGGAUUUACGGAAGACGAACUACUGCGAAAGCAUUUACCAAGGAUGUUUUCAUUAA